GAUGAACGCUGGCGGCGUGCUUAACACAUGCAAGUCGAACGAGAAAUGUAGACGGAAACCUUCGGGCGGAAGCCUUCAUUUCGAGUGGCGGACGGGUGAGUAACGCGUGGGUAACCUGCCUCAUACAGGGGGAUAACAGUUGGAAACGACUGUUAAUACCGCAUAAGACCACAGCAUCGCAUGAUGCGGGGGUAAAAACUCCGGUGGUAUGAGAUGGACCCGCGUUCGAUUAGCCAGUUGGCGGGGUAACGGCCCACCAAAGCGACGAUCGAUAGCCGAUCUGAGAGGAUGACCGGCCACAUUGGGACUGAGACACGGCCCAAACUCAUACGGGAGGCAGCAGUGGGGAAUAUUGCACAAUGGGGGAAACCCUGAUGCAGCGACGCCGCGUGAGUGAAGAAGUACUUCGGUAUGUAAAGCUCUAUCAGCAGGGAAGAAAAUGACGGUACCUGAGUAAGAAGCCCCGGCUAACUACGUG
rnacentral:rRNA from 1 species